CGGGGCGUGGCGCAGCCCGGCUAGCGCGCUUGCAUGGGGUGCAAGAGGNNCGGAGGUUCAAAUCCUCUCGCCCCGACCA
rnacentral:tRNA from 1 species